UUACGGCCAUAUCAGAUUGAAACGCCGGUUCUCAUACGAUCACCGAAUUUAAGCGACGUCGAGAAUGGUCAGUACCUAGAUGGGUGAUCGCUUCGGAAGGCCAGGUGCUGUAAG
rnacentral:rRNA from 1 species